GAUGAACGCUGGCGGCGUGCUUAACACAUGCAAGUCGAACGAAGCAUUUAGAACAGAUUACUUCGGUUUGAAGUUCUUUAUGACUGAGUGGCGGACGGGUGAGUAACGCGUGGGUAACCCGCCUUGUACUGGGGGAUAGCAGCUGGAAACGGCUGGUAAUACCGCAUAAGCGCACAAUGUUGCAUGACAUGGUGUGAAAAACUCCGGUGGUAUAAGAUGCACCCGCGUCUGAUUAGCUAGUUGGUGAGAUAACAGCCCACCAAGGCGACGAUCAGUAGCCGACCUGAGAGGGUGAUCGGCCACAUUGGGACUGAGACACGGCCCAGACUCCUACGGGAGGCAGCAGUGGGGAAUAUUGCACAAUGGAGGAAACUCUGAUGCAGCGACGCCGCGUGAGUGAAGAAGUAAUUCGUUAUGUAAAGCUCUAUCAGCAGGGAAGAUAGUGACGGUACCUGACUAAGAAGCCCCGGCUAACUACGUGCCAGCCGCCGCAGUAA
rnacentral:rRNA from 1 species